CUCUCACAUAUACACUGAUCACACUGGGACGCUUUGCAUUAAUACGGCCAGACCGGUCAGAACGGUCAAAUUGUUGAAUGAAACACAAAACAUUUGGGCUUCGGACCUAUCUGACCGGAAAAUUUAGAUAAAAUUAGAAUGAGGUCCAUUUUCGCUAGAUAUUUGAGAAACAUAGACCAGAUCUUUCCAUUGAUACAGAGAAAAUAAUUCGGGUCUGACCGGUCAGGCCAUUAA
rnacentral:lncRNA from 1 species